UGACUGUACCCUAAGAAUAAGGUCCGGCUAACUUCGUGCCAGCAGCCGCGGUAAUACGAAGGGACCUAGCGUAGUUCGGAAUUACUGGGCGUAAAGCGCGCGUAGGCCGUUGAGUUAGUUAAUUGUGAAAUCCCAAAGCUUAACUUUGGAACUGCAAUUAAAACUGCUCGACUAGAGUUUGAUAGAGGAAAGCGGAAUACAUAGUGUAGAGGUGAAAUUCGUAGAUAUUAUGUAGAACACCAGUUGCGAAGGCGGCUUUCUGGAUCAACACUGACGCUGAGGCGCGAAAGUAUGGGUAGCAAAGAGGAUUAGAUACCCUCGUAGUCCAUACCAUAAACGAUGAUUGCUAGAUGUUGGAAGUUUAUUUUCAGUAUCGCAGCUAACGCAUUAAGCAAUCCGCCUGGGGAGUACGACCGCAAGGUUAAAACUCAAAUGAAUUGACGGGGACCCGCACAAGCGGUGGAGCAUGUGGUUUAAUUCGAAGAUACGCGCAGAACCUUACCAACCCUUGACAUGUCUGUCGCGAGUUUAGGAAACUAGACUUCUCGGUUCGGCCGGACAGAACACAGGUGCUGCAUGGCUGUCGUCAGC
rnacentral:rRNA from 1 species